UAUAAUUAAUUUAAUAUUUCAGGUGUACCGUUAUGUUGUGGAGGAUCACUACGAGCUGAUUGCAAUCAUCUCUGGAGUUGUGCAAACUGUGCUGUACUGUGAUUUCUUCUAUCUGUACAUUACAAAAGUAUUGAAAGGAAAGAAACUGCAGUUGCCGGCCUAAGCCUGAAAGCAAGAGGAUUGCAUUAAAUCAAUCUGACAGUUACGUCUGUGAAUAUAUCUGUGUGAGCCAAUAAAUUACCUAAGAUCUAGUUGUACAAACAUUACCGGUAUUGUACUGUUGUGAAAAUGUUGAUUUACUAAUGGCAAUUAUGUGUGAUUGUGUAUCUUCAUUAACUUGUACAGCCACAAGCAAUAAUAAAUGGUAUUUUGCAUUAAAACCAGUCUUAAUCAUGUCUACUUAGUGCUAUCACCAACACAGUACUUUAUUGGCUACUGUACAUAAUUUAACAUUUUCUACAACUAUUCACUACCUUGUAUUAAUUAAAAUGAAUUCAUCACACCAAUAGAUUGUAAUUAUAUGCAAUCUUAAAAGAGCAAUAAUAUUCUUUGGCUUCCAUUUUACUUAAUAAAAUUAUGUGAAUGUGGUCCCCCUGAUUUAUAAUUACAUCUUAAAACCUAGGCUAAAAUUCUAAUAUGCAUUCCUGUAACAAAAGUGGUAUAUCUGACAACUAAUUUAAGAAUUUGGAGAUAUACUAAAUUAAGUAAUUACAUGACUAGAGGCUUUAAUUUUCUCAUUUGUAUUGUUUCAAUCAUUGCUUUAAUUCAGGUUUCUCAAUAAAUUAGGAUGAAAUAUAAAAACAAGUAAAAUGUAUGUCUGUGCUGUUAAUGUUAGAGUACUACUGGAUAGUUUGAGGAAUUAAAAGUUGUAUGAUAGGUAUUAUUAAAUAGAUACAUUUAAUAUAUUGGCAUAAACCACUUUUUAUUGUUCGUGACUGUACUUAAUUUGAAUUGCAGUUAACCUAUCUAGUUAUUGACAAUAUUUUCAGUGCAAUUUAAUUUUUAAUAGCCACCUAUUGUGACGCAAAUUGUUAAAUACCUUUUUAACAAUGUAUUGUCAAGGAUAUGAUUUUGUAUCUUACCCUUAGAUUAUAUGAACUUUGAUUAUAAUAUUGUAUUUGUCAUUUCUUCCCAUUAGGUAAGAUUUUCGACAUUUUGAAUACUAGGCAAUGCUUAAUUGAUAAGGUUUUAAAAUAACUUCUAUAGUUCGUAUUUGCCAAUAGUUUUAUACAUUUUAUGGUGUAUGUAUCUGUCCCACACUAUCUCAAAUUAUUUUGAUGAGUUAACUGAAACCAAAAUUAGUAUUACAUGGACUUGUGUGCAAUUUGUCAUGUCAAAGUAUUCUAUGCAUGGCAUUUCAAUGUAUGGGAUGUCAAUUAUACCAUGUAUUAAACACUCCUUCCAUACAUUGUCACACAACUUAUUAAAUAAAUAUGUAUUUAAGUGUACAAUAUUGUUUAUUUUACUCCAUUUGGUUAUGUCAACAAGAAAGAAGGCAUGCAUGCCAUAUGCCACUUAAUAUAUUUUUCAUUGUUACUUACAUUAUAUCUUAUUAUUUUUUAUAAAUUGUAUUAUAAUUUUCUUCUAUUUUCAUUUGAACUAUAAGUAACUGUCAAAUUAAAGAUCUGCAUUUCAUAUGCGACUUUAAUCUACUUCUUAUGUAGUUCUAUUUAAAAUUUUACUUAAUAUUGUAGCUCUAUUUCCUAUAACAUCAUUCGAUAUUAUUCUACACACUAAAUGAUUAGUGUUCACAUUCAGUCAUUUAAACGUAACUAAAUUCAAUACAGAUUUAGAUCAAACAUUGCGUUUUUAUACAGUUUAGUCUUAAGACCCUAUUGUAAUGUCUUGAUAUAUAAGAAUUAUGAAUAAAUGAAAUUUGGAAGUGAA